UUCAAUACUUGAUUUAUCAAGUGUGCACUUCUCUUUUAGUAAGACGUUGUGAUCCAUUAGAAAUUGAUUGUCCCCUCUGGUUUGACAAUCAUUGGGCUACCAAUAGUCUGAUAUUGAAGUUCACAAUGACAAACAAUGCAGUCAUUUCUAACGAUUGUAUAUAUUGUCUUGUGAGCAUGUCAUGUACUGGUGUAGCCGUCUGAUGGAUUUUAAAGGUCGCAACAUUAAUAUCCUUGUGGUAUUACGACAUUCUAUGGCGUAUUCGUUGUGUACCCGAUCAACAACGGUUUCAUUUGGGAUACCUUUGGGACCCGUCUUGAAACACGGACCAAGGAGUCUAUCUAGUAUGCAAGUAAAUGGGAAUAUUGUAAACCUAUUUGCGUAAAUAACUUGACUGUUUUU
rnacentral:rRNA from 1 species